rnacentral:tRNA from 1 species
GGAGAGGUGUCCGAGUGGUCGAAGGAGCGUGCCUGGAGAGCACGUGUACCCUUACGGGUACCCUGGGUUCGAAUCCCAGCCUCUCCG